GAUGAACGCUGGCGGCGUGCCUAAUACAUGCAAGUCGUGCGAACAGACGAGGAGCUUGCUCCUCUGACGUUAGCGGCGGACGGGUGAGUAACACGUGGAUAACCUACCUAUAAGACUGGGAUAACUUCGGGAAACCGGAGCUAAUACCGGAUAAUAUAUUGAACCGCAUGGUUCAAUAGUGAAAGACGGUUUUGCUGUCACUUAUAGAUGGAUCCGCGCCGCAUUAGCUAGUUGGUAAGGUAACGGCUUACCAAGGCAACGAUGCGUAGCCGACCUGAGAGGGUGAUCGGCCACACUUGAACUGAGACACGGUCCAGACUCCUACGGGAGGCAGCAGUAGGGAAUCUUCCGCAAUGGGCGAAAGCCUGACGGAGCAACGCCGCGUGAGUGAUGAAGGUCUUCGGAUCGUAAAACUCUGUUAUUAGGGAAGAACAAAUGUGUAAGUAACUAUGCACGUCUUGACGGUACCUAAUCAGAAAGCCACGGCUAACUACGUG
rnacentral:rRNA from 1 species